rnacentral:misc_RNA from 1 species
UUUCCGUAGGUGAACCUGCGGAAGGAUCAUUAACACUAAACAUUACUUUAAUUAAUUAGACUGCAAAGUAUAAUUAAUAUAAGUAAUUGUUCCAAAAACUUGCCUUUCCUAAAAACUAAUUAGGGGUUUUUCUCUUUUUUAGUCUAGGGGGAGGCAAUAAGCACCAAUUGUGAAAUUAAUUAAGUCUUUUACAUUAAAACAAACUCCAUUUAUUUUUUGUUUCUAAUAUAAAACUUACUUAUUGUAAAUUACACAUAAAUAGAGGGCCAGCCCUUCUUUUGUAGGUAUUUUUGCUUUAAGGAAUUAAAGUUGACACUUAUAAAACAGUAAACAACUUUUAACAACGGAUAUCUUGGUUCUC